AGGACGAACGCUGGCGGCGUGCUUAACACAUGCAAGUGGUGCGACGAACCAGGGCUUGCCCUGGGGCAAAGCCGCGAACGGGUGAGUAACACGUGGGUAAUCUGCCCCGAUGACCGGGACAACCCGAGGAAACUCGGGCUAAUACCGGAUGAUGAGCCUUGGCGUAAGCCUUGUCUCUAAAGGAAGCUUCGGCCUCCGCAUUGGGAGGAGCCCGCGGCCCAUUAGCUUGUUGGUGGGGUAAUGGCCUACCAAGGCAUCGAUGGGUAGCUGGUCUGAGAGGACGAUCAGCCACACUGGGACUGAGACACGGUCCAGACUCCUACGGGAGGCAGCAGUGGGGAAUUUUGCGCAAUGGGGGAAACCCUGACGCAGCAACGCCGCGUGGAGGAUGAAAUCCCUUGGGAUGUAAACUCCUUUCGAUAGGGAAGAUAAUGACGGUACCUAUAGAAGAAGCCCCGGCUAACUUCGUGCCAGCAGCCGC
rnacentral:rRNA from 1 species